CAAAUCGUUCGUCUGACUUGG
rnacentral:snRNA from 1 species